CCAGAUUCUUCACAGAUACUUCCUCCUCUGGAGCUGACAAGAAGUGAGCCACACAGGGAAGCCUUGCCCAAGGGUGGGUGUCCCGGCCCGCAGGGGAUCCUAGUUCCUGGGGCAAAGACCCUGGUCCUAUGACCAGAGAAACAGUAAAGUCACAGCAUGGGCCCAGGCUUGCCCCUGGAUUGGACUCUGAUUCUGACAUAUACAGAUAUUUGAUGCCAAGUCACAAAGGCCUGGGACUGCAGGAGGAGGAGAACAUUUUAUCACAGGACAUUUGGGAAGGAUAUAUCUUCCAGUGUUUGUUGGGAGUCAUUUUUAGAAAGAAGCUUUCCCUUUGUUAUGUGCUCUACUUGUGGAUAUAUUUCCAUGUGAGACUUUCUUCAGAUCUAUACUACAUGGUAUGUUCUAAAAAGCCACAUCAAUUCACAAAAAGUUUUGGAGAAGCCAAAGCACAAAUCAUUUGCACUGAACCUACAUUUACUGUGGACUGAGAUGCAGAACAACACAAAGCAGAAACUCUUGGCAUAGGAGGGUAAUGAACAAGACAAGUGCUUCUUGUUUCUUGGUUAGUUUGUUUUGCAAGCAGAAUGCAAUCUCACCUUGAGGGCAAAUCUCCAAUAUAUAGAAAAGGCAUUUGGAGCAGAUCUCUCUCCCCCAUCUCUGUUAGUUUAGCCCCAAAAUGUCAGUUAAAGAAAAUUCUUCUCUCUUCCCUUCUCUCUUCAGCCUGCAACUGAAUAUAGCACAUCUCAGUCUUAUCAAAAUUCCC
rnacentral:lncRNA from 1 species